UAAAAACAGGUGAAGAGAAACUUUUUAGACAAAAUACAGAUGAAAUCGCAUUUAUUGAAGGAUUAUUAUAAAACCUAACGUACUGUAGUUACUUCAGUUUCCCCCACGGACCAACACCGCAGUCUUGGUCUGUAGCUGUAUUAUACUGGAUUACAGAAACACUCACCUAAUGUCAACAUCUCAUACAGCAAAAUGCCAAAGGACCAUCUAUGGAGGAUUAAACAGAAAUGGACACAAUGUCAAGAUCAAAGAGGCUGCACUCAUUUUUCUGCGAUAUGCCGGACCCAAACCCCAGAGCUUGACCGACAGGUCCCGACCAACCAAGACACUUUGAGCCUUGACAUUGCCAUGGAUGUAGUUCUUACUAUGCA